GCGAAGAGGAACCACGGCAGUGGCGGCCGGGUGAGGCCAGGCCCCCUGGCUCCCCCGCCCGCCCCGUCUCUUGUAGUCUCUACCUGGAGAUCAGCACCAGGCGCAUCUUGGUGGGAACGAGCCCGCUCGCAGCGACCCCAGAUAGUCCCAGAGGCGACAGCCGAGACACCCCCUCCGAGGCUCCGCAAAGCGACGGGAGCGGCAAGGGAGCAACCCCCGGCCCGCAGGCGGGGCGGGGUAUCGAGCAGCGUUGGGCCCAGCCCCCACUCGGUGCGCUCCGCACUCAGACACCGAGGGAGCUCAAAUUCAAACUGCUCACUCCCCUCUCUCAAGAUGGGGCUCAAAUUGUACGCAAUGCAUUGUGGGAAGAGCGACGACACUCACUCCCCUCUCCCAAUCCAGCACCGUGCUGACAUCGACACCUUAGACCCGCCCCCUGCCCACGCACUGACGGACAUUCGUUCCCAGGCAGAGCGCUGGGUGGAGCCAGGGCUGGGCUACCACGUAGGGGUGAAAACUCCUCCUCAGAGCGUCGUAUUAACCGUUUGGAAUGUUCCAUCGGCUGGCGUCCCCCGCCCGCCCGGGUGUGGUACCGCCCUGAGAUUAUUUGGAACCAUCAAGCUGUGGAAUAGCUAGCCUGCGUAUCUAGCUGAAGGAUUCUAAUGGAGCCUACUGGAAUAUCUGCUGGGCUGCAACGUUGGUAAGUGAAUAUCUAAAUUUUACAUAUGUGAAAAUAGAGACACAAAUUUCAAAUUAUUUGCUCAAAGUCACACAGCAAAUCAUUGGCUAAAGCAAAGGCCUGGUCUGUACUAGGAAUUUAUUUUGGUAUAGCUAUGUCUCCCAUGGGUGUGAAAAAUCCACACCCCUGAGAGACGUACCUGUACCAACCUAACCCUCGGUGUAAGCCAGCGCUAGGUAGGGUUGCCAGGACAACCUGGAGUUGCUAGGAAUUAAAGAUGAUGUCAUGUGAUAAAAUCUCCAGGAAUUCGUCCAACCAAAGCUGGCAACCCUAGCGCUAGGGAAAAAUUCUCCCAUCAACCUUGCUACUGCCUCUUGGGGAGGUGGGUUACCUAUGCCAACAGGUAGUAUCUACACUGAAGCGUUACAGCAGUGCAAUGUUACACCACUGCAGAGUUUUAAGUGUAAACAUACCCAGAGUGAGAACAUUGGAAAUCCUGGUCCCCUGUCUGGUACUCUAACCAUUAGACAAUGCAUUUUGUAAUGUAUAUUACAUAAGUCAUAUAGCAUGUACAGUAUGUGUGGGUUAUAUAAUGCAUGCUGGCCACAUUUAAUUCAUCUGUCGAAAGGCCUAUAUAAAAUGUGCAGGCACUUCCAUACUGUACAAGAUAUGGGUAAAAGGAGACUUUUGGCUCCGAGUUACUAAAAGGUUCUUGAGAGUUUAUCAGAGAGAUCAAGGAAGGAACGCUGCAGAAGGUGGGGGAGGGGUAAUGACCUCCUACAAAGAAAAGG
rnacentral:lncRNA from 1 species